CAAUAGCGUAUAUUAAAGUUGUUGCAGUUAAAAAGCUCGUAGUUGGAUUUCUGGCUGGAGCGAUCGGUCCGCCCCGCAAGGGGUGUGUACUAGCGUCGUCUCCGACCAUCCUUGUGGGAACUGUGCGGCCGUUAACUCGGUUGUAUAUGGGAACACAUCGUUUACUGUGAAAAAUUAGAGUGUUUAAAGCAGGCUUAAGCCUUGGAUAUGUUAGCAUGGAAUAAUAAGAUAAGACUUUGGCGGUCUAUUUUGUUGGUUUGCACGCCAUUGUAAUGAUUGAUAGGGACAGUUGGGGGUAUUCAUAUUUAAUUGUCAGAGGUGAAAUUCUUGGAUUUAUGAAAGAUGAACUACUGCGAAAGCAUUUACCAAGGAUGUUUUCAUUAAUCAAGAACGAAAGUUAGGGGAUCGAAGACGAUUAGAUACCGU
rnacentral:rRNA from 1 species